rnacentral:rRNA from 1 species
UACAGAGGGUGCUAGCGUUGUUCGGAAUCAUUGGGCGUAAAGGGCGUGUAGGCGGUUUGUUAAGUCAUGUGUGAAAUCCCUCGGCUCAACCGGGGAACGACGCAUGAAACUGGCAAGCUAGAGUACCAAAGAGGGGGGUGGAAUUCCCGGUGUAGCGGUGAAAUGCGCAGAUAUCGGGAGGAACACCUAUUGCGAAGGCAGCUCGCUGGGACGUCACUGACGCUGAGACGCGAAAGCGUGGGGAGCAAACAGG